rnacentral:rRNA from 1 species
UACGUAGGGUGCAAGCGUUGUCCGGAAUUAUUGGGCGUAAAGAGCUUGUAGGCGGUUUGUCGCGUCUGCUGUGAAAUUUCGGGGCUCAACCCCGAACUUGCAGUGGGUACGGGCAGACUAGAGUGUGGUAGGGGAGACUGGAAUUCCUGGUGUAGCGGUGAAAUGCGCAGAUAUCAGGAGGAACACCGAUGGCGAAGGCAGGUCUCUGGGCCACUACUGACGCUGAGUGAGCGAAAGCCAGGGGAGCAAACGGG